rnacentral:rRNA from 1 species
GAUGAACGCUAGCGAUAGGCUUAACACAUGCAAGUCGAGGGACCGGCGCACGGGUGCGUAAAGCGUAUGCAACUUUCCUCACAGAGGGGGAUAACUCGUCGAAAGACGGACUAAUACCUCGUACUGUGAGAUAGGCAUGCGUCCCAUUAGCUAGUUGGUGAGGUAACGGCUCACCAAGGCAACGAUGGGUAGGUGAACGGAGAGGGUGAACCCCCACACUGGUACUGAGACACGGACCAGACUCCUACGUGACGCAGCAGUGAGGAAUAGUGGUCAAUGGGCGAGAGCGUGGACACGCCAAGUCGCGGGAAGGGUGACUGGCUUUGGAAUGUCAACUUCUUGUGUAGGGGAAUAUGUGCCCGACGAAUAAGCACCGGCUAACUCCGUGCCAGCAGCCGCGGUAAUAC